rnacentral:rRNA from 1 species
UGACGAACGCUGGCGGCGUGCCUAAUACAUGCAAGUCGAACGCUUCUUUCCUCCCGAGUGCUUGCACUCAAUUGGAAAGAGGAGUGGCGGACGGGUGAGUAACACGUGGGUAACCUACCCAUCAGAGGGGGAUAACACUUGGAAACAGGUGCUAAUACCGCAUAACAGUUUAUGCCGCAUGGCAUAAGAGUGAAAGGCGCUUUCGGGUGUCGCUGAUGGAUGGACCCGCGGUGCAUUAGCUAGUUGGUGAGGUAACGGCUCACCAAGGCCACGAUGCAUAGCCGACCUGAGAGGGUGAUCGGCCACACUGGGACUGAGACACGGCCCAGACUCCUACGGGAGGCAGCAGUAGGGAAUCUUCGGCAAUGGACGAAAGUCUGACCGAGCAACGCCGCGUGAGUGAAGAAGGUUUUCGGAUCGUAAAACUCUGUUGUUAGAGAAGAACAAGGACGUUAGUAACUGAACGUCCCCUGACGGUAUCUAACCAGAAAGCCACGGCUAA